rnacentral:ncRNA from 1 species
CAGAGUAGAUGACGGUGCGUUAAGUGAUUGGCAGACGGGGAGUUGCUGCUGAAACGAAAAGGUAUAUGCCUUGCGGUACCGUGAUCGCAUCCCGCUG